GGCAGGAGAGAAAGGAUACAAGGAUUUUAACUUGAUUCAAUUUCCAUUCACACAAAUUUAAGCUAACAAUUCUAAUUUUGAGUGAAGCUGUUGGCAAAUGAAAGCAAGAGCCUCUGAACAGCACUCAUAAUUUAAAAAUUAUUAUAUUAAUAUUUUAAAAGACUUUUUUAAAAGUUAGUGAUCGUUUAUUUGUCAGCACGAUGACGUCCGAACAAAGCUCAGUGAAAUAUCCUAUAAAGAGGAGGAGGCAAUUAUCAGCAAAGCGAUGUGAGGCUCUGCUUCAACAGCGUUGUUACACUUAGAUAUGCGAAUACAGCUGAGAGUGGACGUGUAUAAGCUGUGACAACUGUUUUUCCUGUUAUUCCCUAAGUGCCGUGCAGCUGCACCUGCCCCAGGGGAGCUCUGAGUGCAGAGGGACCUGAUCCUGACUGACGCUCGUGGGGCGUUUCCGAGGCAGGGGGAGCACUUUGUGCCUGGGCUCCUUAUUUCCCUGGCCGCAGCCCUAAAUCUUCCACCUGGCAGCCCGUCGGCCCAUCGCUGAAGCUACAUUGAGAUGGCUGAGUGUGGACAGCAAACGGCCUUAUUGCAGCCCAGCUUCUGGUUUUACGCUUGCCUCCCGCACUCCCUGUUGUGCACACCUUCUCCUGGAGGGACUGGCUCCCAUGAGCCGUGCCUGUCUGGGGAUGGACAGACGCCUCCUCUGCAGCUGCCUUUUCUUGCACCAAUACCAUAUUACAAAGGAUGGUCUAAAGUUACCUAACCUGUGAGCCUCCACAUAAAUCACGGCGAGCGGUGAUUUAGAGGGGAGCUGGUCUCCCCGUGGCGUGCGCACCGCGUCCCCUGCCCAGACCCCCACGCAGACAUCCCACUCCUCCAGAAGCCGGCAGAUAAGAGCAAUAAAAGCCACAGCUCACUCCA
rnacentral:lncRNA from 1 species